rnacentral:rRNA from 1 species
GUGACGGUGCGACGCCGCGUGCAGGAUGAAGGCCUUCGGGUCGUAAACUGCUGUCAUGAGGGAACAAUGUCCGGGAUGUUAACACUAUCUCGGGGUGAUAGUACCUCAAGAGGAAGCCACGGCUAACUCUGUGCCAGCAGCCGCGGUAAUACAGAGGCGGCGAGCGUUGUUCGGAUUUACUGGGCGUAAAGGGUGCGUAGGCGGUUCUGUGUGUCGGAUGUGAAAUCUCACAGCUCAACUGUGGAAUUGCAUUCGAAACUACAGGGCUGGAGUACAGGAGAGGAGAGCGGAAUUCUCGGUGUAGCGGUGAAAUGCGUAGAUAUCGAGAGGAACACCGGUGGCGAAGGCGGCUCUCUGGACUGAUACUGACGCUGAGGCACGAAAGCUGGGGGAGCAAACAGGAUUAGAUACCCUGGUAGUCCUAGCCCUAAACGAU